AGCAGGCAACCUCGGGCAUGGAGACCCGCACAGGUACCUUAGGAGCAGCAUAGGCAUGUCUACUCAUGGAGUUCAUCAGACAGAGUGAGGGCCCUUGCCAGAAGAUGUGAUUCUGUUCCCCUGCACCCUGAAGACAAGGCAGUGCCAACACAUGAUGCAACGAUGUGUCCAUCUCCGUGGAUUCCUGAAACACAGACAGAAGAAAGGGUUCGAUCCUUAGGUCGGGAAGAUCCCCUGGAGAAGAAAAUGGCAACCCACUCCAGUAUUCUUGCCUGGAGAAUCCCAGGGACAGAGGAGCCUGGUGGACUGCCGUCUAUGGGGUUGCACAGAAUCAGACACAACUGAAGUGACUUAGCAACAGCAGCAGCCAGGUAUUUCUUGACUUCCUACUUUUACAUUCCAGUCCCCUAUAAUGAAAAAGACAUCUUUUCUGGGU